UUCUUCUCGGACAUACCAGGAACGCCUGCCUGUUCUUAGCGACGCUCAAGUUUCCGAAUCAGCUCAUCAGCUUUAGUUGGCAUCAAAUUCAUCCACGUUUUAAGGGUCAUGAAUGAUCAGCGUGUUUACACAGUGAUUUACAAAGAGUUCUGUAGUAUUGGUAUACAAACAGAUGACUAUGGUUGUCAAAAUGGAUGUUCCUCAAUGUAUGUUAAUAAAACUACAACUCCACAGCAGAAUUCUGAUAGCUCAGAAAAUACCUCUCAACUACAAAAUGCAAAUAAUCCUGACAAAGACAUAACAAUGGAGUUUGAAGAUGAGGAAGAACCUGAACAAUCUAGUAUGAACGCAAUUUCAUCAAUAAUGAGAGUUAUAGAAGAGUUAGAAUCGUCCUCUAGUGACACUUUAGUCGACAAUGACAUUGUAGAGGAAGAUGUUAUCAGUAAUAAUGAAGCUGAAGUACAAAUUGAUGAUAAUAGUGG
rnacentral:misc_RNA from 1 species